CUUGACUUGAAAAAUACUUGAAGGUUAACCAAACUUUAAGGGUUAAAAACAAAACAACUAAAAUUUUUUAAACUUUUGAAAAGGACACUCGUUGAUAAUGUAAGAAAAAAAUUAAUGUAGCAUAAAGAUAAAUAUUAACCUUCUAAUGCUUUACAAUGGGUUGGGGCUUUACAUUGCUAAAUAUAAUCAUGCUGAAGGCUAUUUUUCAAGAAAAAUUUGCUAAACUGAUUUUGAAUAAUGGCCUUGAUUUAUAGGUUCCUAGAUAAGAAGAAACAGGAGACACACAAAAUUUUUGCCUACUUUCAAGUCUUUAAACAUUUGGUUUAUGUACAUACUGUUUAUAAAAUAUACUUUUGAAAGUUUAUAACUUAUCUCUAUCAAGAUGACUUUUUGAACAAUAGACUUAUUUAAUAAUAUAAUUUAAAAAUGGAACUACAUUUUCUUGCUGAUUUUACCACCAUGUAAAAAAUGUUAUCACAGUAUUGUAGUUUAUAUAAAACCAGGAUUUAAUUUCUGGUUAAAAAUGAUUUCAAAUUUAUAAAUUGCAUACAUCGGGUUCAUGGGUCAGCUAAGUUAAUAUUUCCCCAAAUGACUAUAUACACUCAGUUCAGCAUCUUGAUGUGAAUUAUCCUCCAUUCCAUCUCUGCUCUUUAUCUCAGCUUCCUGAUUGCUCACCCCCUUCCCAGUACCAGCCCUUCUCACACAUUUUUCUCUCUUUAUAAUGCUCUUCCCAGCACUCAACACUUAGUAAAACACUGAAGAAUAUUCAUUCUAGACAUAAAAAGAUAUAUUCUCAGGGAAUUUUCCAGAGCCUUCAGACUAGAUCAAGUCCACUGGUUGUAUUUUCUCAUAUUCAUCCAAACUUGACCUUCUAGCAUUUACAGUAAUUUAAAUUUUGUAAUAAUUUGUAUAGAUGUAUGCUUAUAGAAUAUGUACUGGCUAAACUAUCUUUUUUGGUUAACUAAAUUUACGAUGCCACCAAUUAUGAAAGAGACCCUUAUAGAAAGUGUCUUCAUGAUAGUUUUGUAUGAUGAGGGAAUCAGUCACACAGUCUCUUCUUACUUUCAAACUGCUUACAUUCCCAGGGAAGUCGGGUAAUUUUUCCUACCUCAUUUGUCUCACUCAACUAAAGUACUAGGGCUAGGAUCAGUCCUGUGCAAGCAGUAAAAUCUACUUCACAGCUGCUGCAUAGCCAGCAACAAUAUGUGAUGAUAUGCAGUAUAUGGUGUCUCCCAAUCCCAGAGUUGUCAGAAUGAAGAGAAAUGUGUGUCCUACUAUCACUGAAAUAUGUCACAACCUCUGGGAGGGCUGGGCUACUGGGUCCAUCCAAGUUAUUACACCACUGAAUUCCCUAAGAGUCCCUGCUCCAUAGUGGAGGCUUAGCCUUCCGUAAUGGAUAAAUGGACUUAUGAAUAUUUUUCAGAGAACACAAACCACCAGAACUUGUGACAAAUUUAGAGGAAACUACCUUUCCCCCCAGCAGGGAAAAUAGAGCUUGUGAUACCGAACCUGAAGUGAGUUCACUCACAUGUUGUACAGCAAGCCAAUCUCUGACACAAGGCAUAGUGGAAGAAAGUAGGAAUUUUAUUAUUGCACAGUGCUGAGCAAGGAGAGAGGGCAGCUAACGCUGAAAUCCCAAACAACUCACCGAAAAGGUAAAAGGAAGAGUUUUUGCUUGGGGAUUCAGGUAGGGGAGGGGGAGCAUAUGGCCUUGCUCCCUCCUCUCUGCAAGUAGUCUCAAGGCCAAAGACAGGCUGGUGGGAAAGCUCCGACCAGCAAGGCCAUAUGCUCCCCCUCCCCUACCUGAAACCCCAAAUAAAAACCCUUCCUUUUAGCUUUUGGGGAGUUUAGGAUUUCAGCGUUAGCUGCCCUUUCUCCUUGCUCAGUGCUGUGCGAUGAUAAAAUUCCUACUUUUUUCCACUACGCCCAGUGUCAGAGAUUGGCUUGCUGCACAACAGGUGAGCGAACUCACUUCAGGGUCAAUAUCACUAACUUUUAGUCAAGAGAAAGGGGAAGGGAAGAGAAUAAAGAAAGAAGAAAUAGGAGGAGAAUUCAGACUUAAAAAGGGAUGUGAUCAAGGAGAGUCUCUGGCAGCCUGUGGAAGUAAUUGGGUUUGUACAGGGUCGGGUGAGGUAGAUACAGCACACUCUGCAUCACACAGGAAAUACUCCUGACUUCAUGUGAAAGGCUUUUUAGGGUCUCACUUCCAAAACCAGCAACAGAGUAGCCUUCCCAUAUCUCAUCUAUUCCUCAAGUUUCUGAUUACCCCAUGUCUUGGUAAAAAGGAGAGGAUAUCCACCUCUGAUACCACGAUGGUGAGCCUGUGGUGACAAGGUGAGUCUGUCAUGUGAUCUCGAUGAGGCACGGAGCCUUGAGUGAUGGUUUUAUUACUCCCUUAUCCCCUUCCUACCAGACCAAUGAUUUCCAAGUCAUCUAUGAAUGCGUGACAGCAUCUGCAUAGAGGAUUAAGAAUAACUUAAACACUAUUGCCCCGACUAAUUGUCAUUAAAAACAAGUUCAAAGUAUAUGACAAUAUCCAAAGAAGCAAUUAGGAGUAUGUGGGAGAGAAACUUUUCUGCAAGUCCUUCAAGUGCUCAGGAUAUCAUGGAGAGGGGAGCAGAAAGCAUGGAAAUGAUGACUAAGAGUAGAAGCCAUUUGUGAGGGUCUGUCUGGAUUUGGGUCAACCCAUAGGGCUUUCUCCAGCACCUAAUUCCCUGAGAGACUUCAUAACUCUGAGGAACGUCAGUAUUAAGGGGCACAGAAGAGGGGAAUCCAUAGAUCAUUUGUGUCUACCUUUAUUCAAGCAAUAUUUUCUAAAAGAUUCAUUCAUGUUUUGUGCGUAGUUGUAGUUUAUUCAUUUUCAUGCUGUGGGGAGUUUCAUUGUAUGCAUACACCACAAUUUACACAUCCAUUCAACAGCUGAUGGACAGCUGGUGGGUGGUUUCCUAUUUGGCACUUUUAUGAACAAGGGUGCUUUGGCCUUUCUCGUAAGUGUAUCCUGGUGCACACAUGCGUUCUUUCUAAGGUAUAGAUCUAAGAGUAGGAUCACUGGGUUACGGGGCAUUUGUUUCUCUACAUAAUGCCAAACAGUUUUCCAAAAUGCUUAUAACAAUUUACACUCUCAGCAGCAAUAUGUGAGAGUUUCCAUUAAUC
rnacentral:lncRNA from 1 species